GUCACUUGCCCAGAGUCAUACAACUGACAAGUAGCGGAGCUGGGAUUGAAACCCACGACCUCUGACUCCCAAGCCCGGGCUCUUUCCACUGAGCCAUGCUGCUUCUCAGCGUGAGACCCCGAGUCCAAAGUUGUGCCGUCUCCUUCCCGUUGAAGUGCAGCAUUCCUUCUUUCUGGGCUUUCUGUCCUCUUCUUUCUCCAAAGAAGUGGGUGAGACUUACACCAGGACGCUUGGGGUGUCUGUGCUUACUCUCGCCUCCCUUUAGAGGAAAGUUGACCUUGUAGCGUGGCUCAGUGGAAAGAGCCCAGGCUUGGGUUUCAGAGGUCAUGGGUUUGAAUCCCGGCUCUGCCACUUGUCAAUUGUGUGACUGUGGGCAAGUCACUUAACUUCUCUGGGCCUCAGUUACCUCAUCUGUAAAAUGGGGAUUAAGACCAUGAGCCUCAUGUGGUACUACCUGAUUACCCUGUAUCUACCCCAGUGCUUAGAACAGUGCUCUGCAUAUAGUAAGCACUUAACAAAUACCAACAUUAUUAUUUCCACCAGCCCCAAGAAGUCUUUCAGACCGGGGAUUGGUCUGAAUGGAUAAUGUGCAUGAUCUCCCCUGUGACAAGAUUGCUUUUUAUAUGGGUUUGACUUCUCGCGUAUGUUCCCGUCCCUUGAAUGUCUCUGGCUUCAUCCAAACUCUCUCUGGUCUCAGGUUAUGGAGCUUGGAGUGCUGCAGCUGCCAACCCUCAGGGUACAUAUGCAACCACUGCAGCGAGCUGGCAAGGUAGGUGUCUAGGAAUUUGUCCAUGCUUGGGGGUGGUGUGUGUGUCGGGGGGAGGGGGGCCGCGCAGAGGGGAAAGAGUACGUGUGUGUGUUUGGGGGU
rnacentral:lncRNA from 1 species